AAAGUCGUAACAAGGUUUCCGUAGGUGAACCUGCGGAAGGAUCAUUACCGGAGUUUGGGCACUCUGUGCCCCCCUCCCAACCUUUGCUUACCCAUCCUCUGUUGCUUUGGCGUGGUAGCACGCCAGAGAACCUACUCUAUUCUGUUUUAUAACUACUGUCUGAGUAAUAUUGAAUUAAAUUAAAACUUUCAACAACGGAUCUCUUGGUUCCC
rnacentral:misc_RNA from 1 species